UCCUGGAACAGGAACAUGGAGGCUCUCGAGAAUAGGUUGAGGUGUGAAAACGCCGCUGGGAUUAAGAAGCAGCUGCCAGUGCCUUUCACGUGCCUGUCCUGUGACCGCAUGCUCACCGUGCAGGUUCCUGGCCAGUCCUCCGAGACUCUCCCAUAUUUGCAGCCAAUGCCCCCCAGCAAGGAACCACAGAACAGCCAAAGGUAAGGGCCCUGAGGAC